rfam:Gregarina niphandrodes unplaced genomic scaffold scaffold00149, whole genome shotgun sequence.
GGUCUUGUAGCCCAGUAGGUUAGAGCGUCAGUCCAAUAAACUGAAAGUCAGUCUAAUAAACUGAAAGUCCACGGUUCGAUCCCGCGCUCGACCA